rnacentral:lncRNA from 1 species
UCAGGGAUUUGUACCACUGCUGCCUGUGCAAAGGCAGGUAAGUUUUAUGUAUGUCAUAAAACAUUUAUAAAUUAAAUUAAUAAGUAUAUUUUCUGAUAAAAAGACCUUAAUUUGGUCCACAGGUGCCGCACAUUAAUUGAUGAUAAUAUAAUGACACUACAAAGAGUGUUUUCUUUUUUAAGGGAAGUUUUGAAAUUGCGAUACUGUUGUCAAGUCAUUAAAGAUUGUGGACUAAAAAUGGUUUCACUCAUAGGAUCUUUGCAUUGUCUUUCUAAAACCGGAUUUUGGCAUUUUACAGGUUAUGUUCUUCUCAUAUAACUGAUGAUGCUAUGAUACUAAACUUCCUACACGUGGAAUAAGGUCGAUUUCCAUUUCAUCUGUUGGUCAGUUUAAUUGGGGUAUGGAGCUUGCAAGUAAGCAACAGAUAGUUGUCCUUUGUAAAUUUAUGUCGAUCAUUGCCAACUUAAGCUUGUCAUUAAGAAAAAUAUAUUUUAUAGAUUUAGAAAUUAUUGUGUGUAUUUUGUUUGUGGAGACCUGUUCUGUCGUUAAUGGAAGAUGUUCGUUGUUAUUCUGCGAUUUAAAUGUUACUAAAUUGUACUAUUAUACUAUUAAUUUAUUUAUGCGUUGAUCUGUGCUGGGUGUUCUUGCGUUUGUUUGUACCGUAUUCCUGUCACGUAGUGCAGUCAUUUAAGCGACAUUUUUUAACAUUGCAAUAUAAUCGCGAGUUUUGGUUAGCCGUAAAACCAGGUUAAACCUGCCUUUUUUCUUAAAAUUGCUCGUACAAAAACAGGAAUAUGACAGUUUAUGUCAAAUAGUCUGAGUCUAUGUAUACAUGUAUAUUAGGCAUUUGUUUUUUGUUUUCGUUUUUGUUUAGUUUAAACAUAUUUAUUUAUAGUGGAUAGGGAAACAAGUUAUUGAAACUUAUAUUAACCCCUUUCCACUUUGCGGGUGCGAGUGCUGCCUUGUAGCAGCAUUAGCCUGCUCUUUUUCGAAAUCUACAAGGGUGUCUUUUACGUGCAAGAGAUAUGGCUCUCUCUUAACACGGGCCAGCAAUGUAUCGUCCCCUUCCGACGGACUCUCAUCGUUUCCCCACCACCCUACUCGCAAAUGGUGUCAAGGGAGAGCCAAAAAUUCAGUCCCUGAAAUUGUCAUCCCAGAACAGGAAUCGAACCAGGAACCUUUGUGUUAGUAGUCCGAUGCACAAACCACUACACCACGGCUCUCGUUUUUGUUUAGUUUUUGUUUUGUUUUUUGCUCUUCCGUUGUCCGGUUGUAUCCCUUUUAAUUGAUCUGUUUUCCUUGGUUUUAAUUUGUAACAAUUGCUUUUGAACAGCCUUUAUUUCUUAUUACGAUUUGUUUAAAAGGAAUAAAAUGUGAAAUUAAAUAUUGCGAUUUUAUAUACGAUCAGAUACAUGUAUCAGUUCUUUCAAAUGUAUUCAAACGGACCGUAAAAAUCCACUAUAACAGCAUAAUAUCUUUCGGAAUUUUACAAUACCCAUCUGAAUAUGAUAGGAGGCAAUGAAGAUGUACUGGAUACAGUGAUGCAUAGAAAACACAAACAAAUAGAAUAAUCGGUGAUACCAGGGUUAACAUCUUUUAUGCCAAACGCGCGUUUCGCCUAUAAAAGACUUCUUAUUGACGCUCGAAACAAGAAUCUUAAAUAGUUGAGGAACAGUCUAAAAAUUCUAAAAUGGUUUUAUUAAAUACAGUUAAGGUAAUCUAUCGAAUUCCCCAGUUAGAAAAUCUUCAGUUUUUUUAAAAGCUCUAAGUUUUGACAAUAGUUAAUUUACAGUUUUUUGUAAGCAAUACAACAAACGAAAACAAAAUAUAAAAACAGUAACUGUACAUGCACAUACAAAAUGGGGUUUGCACACGUUCAACCUUAGCUAAGAUAAGUUAAACCAUGAACAGUGGAACCUGUAACAGCACUACAUAAGAAAAAAAUGUCAAAAGCCUAUUUUUUUUUGUGAAUAAAUUAUUUAACUUACAGCUUCGAGGAUACUAACUGCAGCCGACUUUUCUGUAAAGCCAUGUGACAAUUUUUACGAGUUUGCCUGUGGUAAAUGGAUGGAGCGGAAUAUUGUACCAGAAGAUAAGUCUUACCAUGCUACAUUCACAAUACUACGGGAUGAAGUUCAAAUUAUUAUUAAAGG